UCUAGGGCGAGGUUUCGUUUAUCCCAUCUCUCUCCUCUCACCUGCCUCUCUCCCCCUCUCACUUUUCUCGGUAAUUUUGUUGAGGAGAUCUGAGCCUCUCUCCCCGUCUCACUUUUCUCUCUCCUCUCACCUUCUUUUCUAGGUCUUCCUAGGUUACAAUUCCUCGCCGUCGUCCCUCUUUAAUGGCGACUAUGAGGUCAAUCGGAGGGAAAUGCAGAGCUCUAUUGGCGGCAGCAAAUUCCUUCACCACCGCAUCAACGACCGCAACUGGUGCUGCAAAAAGAUCGAAGCCUCCUUUCUGCAAAAAUAAUAGAGGUAUUUUGGUCUCUCUCGCUGCUCUCUCACCUUCAGCGACUUGGAACUACAUCAAGCUUCACAAUCUUCAGGGAAGAAAUGUACUACAUUUACGGAAAUUAGGGAUCAAUUCGCCAAAUUCGUGAAAAAUACUCAUAAGAUCACCACCUGAAGAAUAAGAUCGAGCUCCUUAGCACACCGAUGAUGUCCUCAAGGUUUAACACUUUCAAAAGAAUCUGGAACUGAAACAAAGCCAGAUCGGUGUAGCAGCCUCAAUGACUGCAAAUUAGAGGGUUGUCCACGUGUGAACGGAAUCUGCCAGUGUCAUUAAACCAGGGUGGCAGAAGAAGCUUAUUCAAAGAUACCAGCUCAACUAAAUGACAAUGCCAGACUUCAAUGUUAUGGAGACUGUAAAUGCAAACAAACCGAAGUUGAAGUAGCCUAUCAAACCCUAGAUUUCCCGCCUCCAGUUGUUGUCUUCGCAUCUUCUCCUUCCCGCUGCUCUUCUCCAUCUCCGCGAUCCCCUUUUCCCUCAAUUGUCUGGAUCUGACUUCGGAGACUCCUUAUACAAGUAUGAAUUUAUGCAUCUUUUUUUGUUAAUCUGAUUUCAAAAUCUCUAUUAUAUAAAGGAACAUCUGAGGGUAAAUAAGUAAAUACACUUUUCGUGUCCCCCUAGGAAUAGACGAUAAUACCCUCACUAACCCAUCUUUCCUUCCAAACCCUAGAGCUUCACUACCGGCACAAUCUCUCCCUCCUCUCAACUCACGCCUUUUCUCUCUCCUCUCAACUCCAUGGUAAUUCAAACCUCCCUGUCUUCUUCCCCGAUCACCAUCGAAACCUUAGAAAUUCAAACUCUGAAAUGAAGAACCCUAACGAAUUUCGAAGAUCUGGAUUCCUCAUCGUGGAAAAACGAUGUAGGCGCACAAAGUACGGAUUGCAAAUUAGGGUUCCAAAUCAAGAGGACGCGAUCAAGACAAAAGUUUGCAAGUAGAAAAAUCUAUCUACAUUUCUCCACCUUCUCUCCGAUCUUGGGCCACCCUCCCUCCAGGCCGCCACCCCUACGCCAACCCCCAUCUUUCACACCUAAAUUCCAUGAAAUUUCCCCCAAUUAUCUGAGCUUCUAUACCAGUCUUUGAUUUCUAGGGUUUCUCGCUCGAUCUACUCAUCUUCCUUCGCAUCAUUUUCUCUCAUCACUUAUGUCGCCUUAAACUUCAAUUCCGAAAAAUCGGAGGUAAUUUUCGUGAUUUUUGGUAAUUAUUUCCCAAUAUUCUGAUAUUUUUUUCUGGGUUAAUAAUGUUAAUACCUCCGAGAUAUGAGUUUAGUGAGACACCCCCCUACCCUGCCUCUCAAAUACCAAGCGAUGAAGAAAUCCUUGCUCUACCCUGCGGUUUUUUAACCUCUGUCACCCCCCUACCCUGCCUCUCAAAUAAUCCACCAUUAUUUCGGCAUCAUUUCGCAUCUUCAUUCACUUUGAUGAAUGUAUUUCUUAUACAAUGGGAAUUUUGCACCAGAUCUGAUUUUCGAAGCCAAAUAUGGAAGCCCAGCUUUAUAUAAUUCUAUGUUCAUUUUCCGAAAUAUGACAGAGAUAUUGUAUUGAUCGAUAUUAAGGUUCCCGGGUUGCCGUAUGCUGUUGCUAAGUGUGUUGCAUCAUCUCUGUUGGUACAUUGUCAAUUACCGCGAAGCUUAUGGUCACAUAGCAACAAGUGUGCUGCAUCAUCGUCGGUACACUGUCAAUUACCGCGAAGCUUAUGUUUGGUCCAAAUUAUCCUAAUUGAAACAAAAACAAAAUCAACCUGCCAUGGAAGAACUGCAGAUCUAGGGUUCCAGUGAAUCAACUCUGCAACUUCAACUUCCUCUCUCCUAAAAUCGCACUCUCUCUCCUCAACAAUGGCACGAACGAAGAACACCGCUAAGAGUUCCACCGGAUGAAAAGCCCCACCGUUUCCCUUUCUUUGAGAUUAUAUUCCUGUGACAAACUUAGGUGACAGUGGUUUGGAUACUCUCUCUAACUCAACGCUGCCACACAUGCUUUUCACAAGCAGCCAACAGCUCAACAUAUGCAGACUCGAGUAAAGCAGUUGCAGCUCAACAACUUUCUCAAAUCCUCAUACAAACAGCUGGGAAGUCAGCAGCUGAAAGGAAAGAGCCUAGAAGUUUCUGUAAUGCAGUCGAAGAUUGUUAGAAAGCUUUUCCUACUAAUCAGAAGAUUCAUCUAGAGGCUGUUAGAUCAAAAUAACUGAAGUUUACAAGGGGAUUUCACGAAUUCACGCCGAGUACUAUUUUGAACGGAAUAUGUUUUUUUGUUUUUCUUAUACAUUUUCGCAUGCAUAACGUGCAUAUAAGUUAAGUUUUUUGUGUAACAGAUUAGGAUUUUAAGGAUUGUCAAAUCCUAAUUAGGACAUAUAUUAAGUUUUGAUAUGGCAAUAGAUUUCCGUUAUUACAUGUUAUGUUUUCUUGGGUUAUAUCAGCACGAAGUAUUGCGUUAUACAUUUUUUAGUGAUACAACAAAUGUUUAUUACAAAUAUGUUUCUUAUA